UCCCAACUUGCUCUGGAACUAAAAGGUGAAAUGAUGUCAAAAAAGAGAUUCUAAAAACCAAAAAAUAAAACAUUAAGUCCUGCGUGUGGCAUUCAUUGCUUUCCAAGAUCAGACCGCAUAACCUCUGACCACUCCCUGCAGCUGCCCUCUCCCGUUUCCCCACUUUCCCAAAUGCUGGCCUCGAACUUCAUGUUCUGCACACCUGCUGAUUACUGAGUAGCUGAAACUAACAAGAAGGCAUGUGCUAGUAAGAUAUUCUUCCUAUAAGUAAAG